AAAACAUCAAGGUGGUGUCCAUUAUCUAGUGUCCAAGUUGACAUUCUGACGGUUCAUUAUCUUGGGGGAUGCUUGAACCCCUUCUGCUUUAACGCUUUGCGUCAAAGUAAGGGGAUGUUAAAUAUAGUUUAGUUGUACAAAUUAUUUGGUAUUAGGCGUUGAUGGAAUGUAGUUUAGUUGUAAAAUUUUAAGGGAAUUUAAUUGAUAAUUCAUUUUAGGGUAAACAAAUGGUAUUUUGCGUAAAACGUCACUUAGGUGUUCUUUAGGUCUUGUCAAAGUUGAAAUUCUGACAAUUCAUUAUCUUGGGGGAUGCAGGAAACUAGGAAAGCUUAAUGUUUGAACCCCUUCUAUACUGUCGCCGCAUGGCCCUGCGGCAAAGAAAUUGUUGUCUUAGGAGUAUACUUUUCGCGGUACCUUCAGUAUCUCGUGUGUAUGUUUCUAGAACAUAUGUUUGUUCAUGUUCCUUAUCUUUUCCACUGCCUUCAAAUUCUAGUGCCAGAUAUUACCACCUUGCACAAGAUCCUAUAGGCAGUCGAGAAACACAGGAUUCGGAGUCUUAUAUAGGUUUUCUAAUUUCUAGAGUAAGAGUUGGAAACAAUGAGGAUGAGGUUUUCCAGUCCCUUCUGCAAGAUCACAGAUGCGUUAGUAUUUGUUUGUCGAAAAUCCUGGUUGAAAGACUGCUUAGGAGAUUUGAGGAUGAUUGGAAGUCUGCUUUGGGUUUUUUUCGAUGGGCUGGGAUGCAAGCUGAUUAUAGCCUCACUCAAGAAGCUUAUGAUAAGAUGGUGGACAUAUUGGGUAAAGCAAAGCAAUUGGAGAUGAUGUAUCUGUUGGUUGAGGAAAUGAAGGAGAAGAAUUAUGUCACGUUGAAAACAAUUGCUAAACUCAUGAGAAGGUUUGCUGGUGCUGGGAAACAUAAAGAUGCAGUUAAGAUGUUUGAUGACUUGGAAAGAUUCGGUUUGGAAAAGGAUACUGAAUCCAUGAACCUAUUGCUUGAUACCCUUUGCAAAGAAAAGAGAGUUGAGCAUGCCCGGGGGAUAUUUUUGGAACUGAAGAAACAUAUCUCCCCGAAUGCUCACACCUUUAAUAUUUUUGUACACGGCUGGUGCAGUGCCAAUAGGGUUGAUGAGGCAAACUGGACCAUCCAAGAGAUGAAAGGGCAUGGCUGUAUCCCCUGUGUCAUUAGUUACUCAACGGUCAUCCAGGCUUACUGUAAGCAACCCAACUUUAGUAAGGUUUAUGAGUUACUGGAUGAGAUGGACACUCAGGGUUGCUCCCCAAAUGUCGUCACUUACACCACUAUCAUACAUUACCUUGAUAAGGCAAAAAGAUAUGACGAAGCCCUAAAAGUUCGUGAGCGAAUGAAACUGACUGGAUGUAAACCAGAUACGCUUUUUUACAAUACGUUGAUCCACGUGUUGGGGAGAGCAAGUCGGUUACAAGAGGCGACUCGUGUUUUUGAAGUUGAGAUGCCCAUGAACAGCAUCAUUCCAAAUACUUCUACCUAUAAUACUAUGAUCACUAUGUUCUGCCAUCACUCUCAAGAACAAGCUGCUCUGAAUGUUCUUGACAAUAUGGAGAAGUCAGCACUCUGUAAGCCUGAUCUUCGUACAUUCAAUCCAUUAUUGAAAAUGUACUUUAGAGCUGGAAACACAGAUUCUAGUUUGAACGUGCUAUUGGAUGAUAUGGCUAAUAAACACUAUCUGGGUCUUGAUCUUUCUACUUCCACACUUUUAAUUCAUGGAUUUUGCAGGGCAAACAAAUUUGAGAGAGCUUGUAAAAUCUUUGAGGACAUGAUAAAACAAGAAAUUACACCUCGAUAUCAAACAUGCCGUUUGCUUCUUGAUGAAGUGAAACAAAAGAACGUGCAAGAUGCUUCUGACAGAAUAGAGAGUAUUAUGAGGCAAAUGAAGAAAUCCAAUUAGGAAAUGUCAUGAUUUGCUUGGGAAGACUUAAGUGCUUAUGUAAUUAUAUUGUUAAUUAGCCCUGCUGAUGCUGCAAGGAUAAAAGAUGGCGAUGAAUUGCAGCAGAUCUCUCAGAAGCCUCAUCCUCACAAAGGAGGCAGUUGGAGUUGUUAGUCGGAGAACAUUCGCUGCAGGUGCUAAAGCCAAGAAGAG